GUAUAAUGAUGAUAACAUGCGUGUCAGCUGACUCUGUAAACCGCUGCUGUGUCGUUGCUCUGGUUGGCGUUUUGCUUGUCUGGGUCUUCGGCACUGCAGGGCUACAGAGAUGUGAUCAUACUUCACUACUUCUGAAUAC
ensembl:snoRNA SNORD10 small nucleolar RNA, C/D box 10